GACGAACGCUGGCGGCGUGCCUAAUACAUGCAAGUCGAACGCAGUGGGGACGGGUGAGUAAAACGUGGGUAAUCUACCAUCAGAGGGGAUAACACUUGGAAAAAGGUGCUAAACUGAUACUGAUGGAUGAACCCGCGGUGCAUUAGCUAGUGGGUGAGGUAACGGCGCACCAAGGCCACGAUGCAUAGCCGGCCUGAGAGGGUGACCGGCCACACUGGAACUGAGACACGGCCCAGACUCCUACGGGAGGCAGCAGUAGGGAAUCUUCGGCAAUGGGCGAAAGCCUGACCGAGCAACGCCGCGUGAGUGAAGAAGGUGUUCGGAUCGUAAAGCUCUGUUGUUAGAGAGGCGGUAUCUAACCAGAAAGCCACGGCUAACUACGUGCCAGCAGCCGCGGUAAUUC
rnacentral:rRNA from 1 species